UGGAGAGUUUGAUCCUGGCUCAGAUUGAACGCUGGCGGCAGGCCUAACACAUGCAAGUCGAGCGGUAGAGAGAAGCUUGCUUCUCUUGAGAGCGGCGGACGGGUGAGUAAUACCUAGGAAUCUGCCUGAUAGUGGGGGAUAACGUUCGGAAACGGACGCUAAUACCGCAUACGUCCUACGGGAGAAAGCAGGGGACCUUCGGGCCUUGCGCUAUCAGAUGAGCCUAGGUCGGAUUAGCUAGUUGGUGAGGUAAUGGCUCACCAAGGCUACGAUCCGUAACUGGUCUGAGAGGAUGAUCAGUCACACUGGAACUGAGACACGGUCCAGACUCCUACGGGAGGCAGCAGUGGGGAAUAUUGGACAAUGGGCGAAAGCCUGAUCCAGCCAUGCCGCGUGUGUGAAGAAGGUCUUCGGAUUGUAAAGCACUUUAAGUUGGGAGGAAGGGCAGUUACCUAAUACGUGACUGUCUUGACGUUACCGACAGAAUAAGCACCGGCGAACUCUGUGCCAGCAGCCGCGGUA
rnacentral:rRNA from 1 species